AUCUUUAGGUGCAGUUUUCUAUCGGUGCUUCGCAGCGUACAGGAAAAAAGAGGACACUAAAGACCUUGGGCACGUAGUAGUCGUGGUAUACUUUCACCCGUUGCUCGUGACAACGCUUGCUUCAAACUAAUCACACGGUUUGCAAAAUCACUUUCUCGUCGUACCGGUGGUUGCUCUCUCGCUACUGCAUACCGGCGUUCGCACGUGCAUUCUUUUAUAUGGCGCGCCUGCUCCGACCGAUCUCAAUUGUAGCAAUUGAGCACCGUUUGAAAGCAUGGUCGCGUGCACUUCCGCAAAACCCCGACCGCGCUGGGCGCGAGAGUGUCGUGUGCAAAUCAUAUGAUGUGUUUGUGCGCGGUAUCGACGAGAUCGGUUUCCACUUUACCGGUGCUGCUGAUGCAAUUCGUCGCAAUAGUAAUGCGGGAAAAAGAAACCAAAACAAAACACGUGACGUAGGCAUCUCGUGUUUUUCCGUUGUUUUGGUCGUCGAAUCGAAAAGCCCUGAUCAUGCAGUUCUAUGCUACACAGUCGGCUACAAUUGUUUUUGCCGCGUAAGUAGGCGUAGAAAUACAAUCCCCACCACUACCAGGCGACAAACGUAUGUGUGUGUGUGUGUGUGGGGAGGCAUGUUUCAAUUCCGUCCCCGGACCUCCCCCUGAUAUAUCUAAUCAAGCAGACAAACAAAUAAUAAUCAUCGGUCAACGACGCCAACAGCAGACACCACAGUAUACACUUUGCACUUCGCCGAUGCUUUGCACACAACACCAACAUUAGUAUGACGCGUACCGCUAGUGGGGCACGCAACGAGAGGCCCCUUUGUUCGGCAUGUAGCCCACACUCUGAGGCUCGCAUGUGUGUUGCACACGGAAACUAGCAGCAGCAGCAGCAGCAGUAGUAGCUGCGAGUUGCACAACCACCACCAAUAUAAGAGGCCCGGUGCAACGGUUCGAGUCAAGUCACUAAUCAGUUCCUAGCCGAGCAACGACAUCGUGCAAUAUUCGAAGCAAUACUUUACGGGGUGUGUU